rnacentral:lncRNA from 1 species
AGGAGAGGCGGAGAAGGAACCGAGCGGGCAGUUGAGGGAAAUCUCGGAGGAGGUUACCUGCGAUCAAACUGGGGCUGCGUAGUGUUAGGGUCAGGCAGCUUUGAAGUGGAAUCCGGAUCCGCCACUCUCGCUGCGUGAUAUUGGGCAUGCCAUCAAAGCGCUCUCAACCGAACGUCUCGGGUAAAAUGGGAUUAGUGAAGUCUACCAAGGUAGUUGUGAGGAUCAAAAGAGAUAACGCGGAAAACGCCUCACCUGGCACGUUAUAGAUCCUAAAUGCCUAGCUAUUAUUAUGGAGCCCACAACCUCCAUAUUUUACAACUGGGAACACGGGACUCAAAGAGAUUAAAAAACUAAAUGACUCACUCAAGGUCAGGUAGUGGUGGAGACCCAGGCUUCAAGUUCAAUACUCUUUGUCCUACAAAGCCUUCCCUUAAGCAGGGGUAAUAAAACAUUUCAGAAAAACCACCUUAAAGAGCAUCGCUUGUGAUCUGUGGAUCACUUGGUAGUCCCCACCUCCCUCCCAUCCCCGCAAAGGUUUAGAGCUGGACAUAAGGGCCUUGGUGCAACUUUUGGAGGGCAGUUGUUCAGCUUCUGAAUUUGCAUCUGAACGAGCAAUAAGGAAUUUUCUGGGAAGUUAAGAAUUUCCAAUAAAUCUUGGACUACUCUAAAAUGCACCAGAAAUUACGUGGUCACACUCGUGCAGUGAAAGAAGGCUUUGGCAGUAGCAUAAGACAUUAAGCAGAAGUAGGAAAUGCAGUGAGGAAGAAGUUGUAAUGUUUUCAACAGCUGCCACUAUGGAUCUAGGAUGAGAGCUUUCCACAUGUUGUUAAGAAUGAGAGACAGAUUACU